AUGUUCCAGCAGCUGGGUCCCAUUCCCCACAGCUGCCAGAGUGUUGGAUCCAGCAAAGGCUGCAGUCUGUCAUCCCACAGUGGAAGGGCUAAAAAUAUAUUUAACAAAGGAACUGGAGUGGACACAGCACUAAGGAGCCCAGAAUGGAUAGCACGGAGUAUCCAGAGUGAUCUGAUGGCAAAAAGAAUUCCAGGUAGGGAUAAGUACUGGCUUGGGAGGACAAACGGGAGCUUCUCCUCUGUGGUCUCAGGAUGCUUGAGAGAUGAAGUGCACACACAAAGCUUCAGGAGGUGACACUGGGGAGAAGAAUCAACCAUUUGAUACAUGGCCACAUAUUUUAAAACAACGGCAGGCUUGUAGUCAAUAUCUUUGUGGAAUUAGUUCCCGCAGGGAAAAUGUAUUAUCCACAAAACUUUCUUAUUCUUUUUUUUUUACCUUUUUUUUUUUUUAAUGAAAAGACAGCAAAGAAGCUGUCUGGCAAUGAUUUGUAAGUACAAUAAACCUCACAAGAGGAUGAUAAGCAAAGCAUUGUGAGAGAAUAGUGUCAGAAGUACAACAAAAUAAAAGAGAAACAUUACACAUUUGUAGUUACUGACAGUAUGUGUUCUUAAGUAUCAUGUCACAUUAGAAAAGAAUCCUUGUUUUCCUUUCCAGCUUUCACUAAUAUUCCUAUUAAUCUAUACCAGAUUUUUUGAUUCCACCAUUUGAGGCCAUAUCAAUCAUGCUUUGCCCCCUUGAAAUUCAACUGGAAUUACACCAGCG
rnacentral:lncRNA from 12 species